AAAAUGUAGCUUAAUAAAAGCGUCUGGUUUACACCCAGAAGAUUUCAGACAUACUGACCGUUUUGA
rnacentral:tRNA from 1 species